rnacentral:lncRNA from 1 species
AGAGAUGUUGUUGUUGCUACGUAAAGUAAAAGAGAAGAAUAUGUGGUCGAAGGAGGAAAAGAACCUACACUGGAAGUGGAAGAGAAGAUAAGUGGUGACAAUGGUCGAAGAGAAGAUGGCGGCGUCGACAAAACAAUCAUUAAUAGUGAUGGUGACAAUAAUAUGAUUGAGGUGAAUGAAGAAGAAAAACAAGAAAAAAACAAGAAAAAAUGAGCG